UUCUCUUUUAUUACCGUCUACGGAGUAGUUCUUAUUACAUUAGCCUCAAACUUUUUAACGUACAUUAUUUAUGGAACACACACCAUGAUUAUGUAGUGUUAACAUACAUCAACAAACACAUUCAUCACCGUGGUAUAUACACUCUCGAGGGUUUCGUUUGGAACCUAGUAGUAGGGCCCAGGCGUGGUCUUCUGGAAGGGACAAAUGCUAACUUGCGGGAUGUUGCAAACUCUAGGUAAGUGCGUAGCGGUCUCGUAGAUACGGCUCACUACUUGCUGCAUUUGCUGUCCCUGCUGUCCCUGCAUUUGUCCCUGUUGUCGAACCUGCUGUUUAACGGCUUUGGAUGCUCCUUUCAAGGUUGGGCAAACGCAAAGUGGCUCUUCCUGGUGGAGCUCGUUGCAGCACUGCUGGAGUAGUGGCGGCCUCUGUUGUGGGCCCUGGGGGUUCUCCAUGUCAUCUUCAAAAUCAAACUCACCAUCGAGGGUCCAGCUUGGACCACUACCGGACUGCAUUGCCUGCUUGUGGAGCCAUUGUUGGCAAGCUUUCAGGUGUUGUGCUUGCUGAAACUCCUUCCUACAUUUUGGAAUCCUAAAUGGGCCGGCUGGGUUUGUGGCAUCUUCAUCGACUUCCACAACCGUCCUGUAGACGGAGGCAUUGGUGAGAAGGAAGAAAAAGGCGAGAGUUGCCGAGACGAGGAAGAGCUUGUUCGCCAUUUGUGUAUGUUUUUAACUUUGUUUGUUAUGAUGAGUUUUGGUUUGAGUAAAGAGUGAAGCUGUUAAGUUAAUUUAUAGGUGAGAAUGGAGAUUUGCAUGGCGAUCACGUGUAAUAAUGCAUGCAUUUGUGUGUGCUGUGAGAGAGAAGCUCUUAGGUGUUUGAAGUGAGUGACAAAUGACGAACAAAAACAGUCGUCCGCAUCUGCAUGCUAUGUGUGAUGUGUAGCUCAUGUCCUGGCGUAACAUCUUAUGAACGAUAUUUUUCAAAAAGAAGCUAACUUCAUAAAAUAAAAAACCUUCAGUAAGUGGGAUGACAGUCUAUAUACUUUGGAGGUAGUGCGGGGGCGGUUGAAAAUAUAUAUUGGGAGCUUAAUGAGAAUUCAGUAAUAGUAUAGAAGAUCUAUUGUAUGGUGAAAAUUAAAUGUGUCUCGUAGACUCGUACAAUAUGUAAUAAAUGCAGUAGAGCCUCUAGUGUAUGGACGAAUGUAUGGGUGCAAAUGCAAAUUAUGCAAUUGUACCCACUAUUUUUUCUAAAAAGAAAUAUUUUUUUUUUGGUAAAAUGUUAAAUUGAAAAGAUAUAUUUUCUAAAACAUUGUUAAAAUCUAACAAAAAUAGGCAAAAUUAACCUAGCAACCAGUAUUUUGUUGGUUUGCCCCCUCUGCUUUCACCAUUUUUUUGUUCUUCUUCUUACAUUUACUUCAAUGAAUGUUCAAAUUUAUUUGAUUUAAAACAUUUACUUCUAUGCUUUCUGCCAUUACGUUCACGCCAAAUAGUGUGUACACCACCAGAGCCGAGCCUGCGGACAGUUUUAUUAAAUUUUAUUUUUUUUGAACAAAGUUCGAUAGUUUUGUUUUGUGAUCGCGUCUUCAACGUUUUAUUAAACUUUUGAAUGAAGCCUUCAUGCUUUAUAGGAGCUCCACUAAAAAAUAAUAUAUAUGUAUAUGUAUUUUUAUUUUUGGUAUAAUAACAUAUAAAUAUUAGCUGUGAAAUAAAUACUGAAUGAAAUUUUGAGUUGACAAAAAUGAUAAAAUAUAUUAUUUAUAAACUUUAUAAAAAUAUUAAUUAUCAGGGCCCCGAAAAUCUCAAAAUCGGCUGGACACCACUGCUUGAAACAUGUAUCACAAAAUGAAGAGAAUGGUUAUGUCCCAACCAUCAUCCACCAAGAGUUGAACAAUAUAUAGUAUUAGGUAUUUAGCAUUAUUAAAGAUAUAGAUGAUCAAUGAUAAAGAAAUUUACUACCUUUGCUAUCAAAGUACUGUUUAUAAGUAAAGGCAACAUCAGUAUAUUUGCAGGAAUUUAGUGGAUACAUGAGAUUGACAGAUGCAUGGUGAUCUAAAAGAGUUUGUUAGUAUUUUUGUUUUUUUAGAAAGGAAGAGUUUCCAAGUACUUUUGCAAAAAAUAUAAAAUAAAAGAGUUUAGAAGUAUUUGACUAUACCAGAUUUCAGUCAUUGAUUGAUCCCAGUGGAUGAUUUUUUAUUAUUGGCCCCGAAUGCUUAUAUUAACACUAGUUGUUUGUCCGCGCGAACGAUGAUAUUUAUUUUAUUGAUGGUGUUAAAUCUUUUAUUAAUAUAGCUUAAAAUAUUAGAUGGUUAACUAAUGUGAUAUCUUUAAAAAAUUUGUUUAUAAGUUUCUUGGUAAAAUGUUUUGGGGUUGAUCAACAUGUUUUUUUCCCUUGUGACCAUCAUGUUUGUUUCGUUUUUUGAUAUACAAUAAUUUUAGAGUAGCUGUUUUUCCAUCCCAUAAUUUCAACCACACAAAUGUGGAUCUGCUUCAUUUUUGUUAUAAAUUUUUUUCUAUUUUAAACUUGUUCAAGUGUAAGGUUAUGUCCACCUCAUUUUUUUUGUCGAUGAAAGGAACAUAUCUGUUCAACUGUGAUGACUUCGGUAGCGUAGGAGGUAUAGUGGAAGUUUUUGUGCACGUUAAUGCCGUGGGUGAAGGUGCUGAGUUCUUUUUGGCUCUGCUGCACACUCUGUUUUAUUGUAUGUGGCUCUGUUCAAAUAUAUGAAAUGAUCCAGUUUGGGGAGGGGGGAAGGUUAUGUCCACCUCCUUCACUCUGGUGUAUUUGAUAAACAGCGACAUAACCACCAAGUUCCCAUAAUGCCAUAACAGCCUCUGUACCCAGUUAAACCUCUAAUCACCUCCAAAGCCAUGGAACUAAUCGAAAUAGGAAGCUUUAACUUAUUUUACAGUAAAGCUUAGAAGAGUCAAACCAUCAAAAUCCAAAAAUAAUUACGAAAUCAGCAGAAGAAAAACUAACAUGCUAAAGUCUUUUGAGUAUCGUUGGCAAAUUUGGGAGGUAAAAUCUACACAAUGCAAGUUUAAGGCCUUUUUGUUUUUCAAUCUUCAUCUGAGAUUCUGAGCCCGACUCUUUGGAACUCGACCCAUCUUGUUUACUAUCUUUGAACCUUUUUUUGGGUCGAAUGAUCCUUUCCUCUUAUCUUCUUCGUCCUCACUAUAUUUGCUUUCAUAAUUCACUUCAUUCUCAUCUUCUUGUGAAGCCUCACCCUCAAAAUCAUUGGUUCUUUUCAAAACCUCGACUUUCAGUGAUGUCUUUCGAUCACAACUGAUCCAAGCAUCUCCUAGGUAGAACUCAUAAGCAAAUCAAAUAAUAAGUAUCUUCUGCACGUUUUAGGCAUUUCUUUAUUACCAAUCUUGAUCGGCUUUUAACCUUCUCUAACUUCAUUGUUCUUUGCCUCGACGCCAUAAUAUUUCCGCAAAACAAUCAUUAUAUCAAGAACCAAUAAAGGUUUAUUGAUCUCCUCAGAUUUGCAGUAGCCACUUACCAUAAAAUUAGAAGAUGUGGCAUCAUGAACAACACCAGAAACUUGAGGAAACCAAAUCUUGUUGACCUGACCUGUCCGGAAAACAAUAAACUGUGAAAGAACAUUUCCUAAAAUUUUAAAGGAAAAGUCUUGCCACCAUUGAAAUACCGCCAACCCAUUAAACUGAUAUAGCAUCUAUAAGAGCACCUGUAACGGGGGUACAUGCAGGGUCCUUAGCGUUUAAUCAUAGGUUAGGAGGAUUAUAAUAAUAGUUGUUUGGUUAAUAGGAGUAAGGAUUGAUACGUUAAUAAGGAUUUUUAGGACUUGAUCCUUAGGGUACGUGGCGUGUUUUGAAUGGAUGGAAGGGUUUACGGUUUGGUUACGCGUAAAACAUUGGUUAUACUCGACCGAAGCAGAAAAAAAAAUAGUCCCGACGAAGAAAGGCGAUUGCUCUCGACGAAGCGAAGGCGAAUCCCGCUACGAAAGACGGCGAUUCCCGCGGCGAAAGACGGCGAUUUGUCUCCGUUGGCUGAACAAGGUAAAUCGCACCCUUCUGAUGUAGAUUAAUCGAUAUAGAUUAGUUUGCAUGUUGAAUCGAUCUCGUUUGAAAUUAGGGUUCGAACAUAAUUUGGGGGUUUGUUGCGUUUGUACUUAACGGUUUGAAAACGAUACUGCUUUCAUCGAUUUCGGGUUCUUCUCGUUUGAAAUUAGGGUUUCAAUUCAGAUUUGGGGCUUUUUGCGUUUGUACUAAUCGGUUUGAAAACGAUUUGCGUUUGUACUAAUCGGUUUGAAAACGAUACUGCUAGCAUCGAUUUGGGGUUCUUCUGGUUUGAAAUUAGGGCUUCAAAAGGAUUUGGGGCUUUUUGAGUUUGUAUUAAUUGGUUCGAAAAAUAUCCUUAGCGUUUCUUUCUUGCACAGUUUUGCUAGCUACAACUCAACUAUCUGUUUGAGUGUAUUGAGUUUAUGUGUUUGUUGUUAAGGAUUACAAGUAGAAGUUCAGUUUUCUGUGAGACAUAAAAAAAAGCUUCCUAAUUUGUUCUCUCGGAUGAGCUGCAAGUUUAUGAUCAUGUGUGUGUGUGUGUUGUUAGGAUUUGUUUAGCUCUGUUCUUAAUUUUUUUUUUCAUUCUCUCUUAUGUUUAGCUCUGUUCUUAAUUUUUUUUUUCUUGCAGGUUAACGAAUAUGGGACAAGAUUAUUCAUACAGCCAGCCUUUCUCAUCAUCAGACUCGAUGGACAUUACCUCCCUUCUUCAAGCAGAAGCUUAGUUGUAUGCGGAUGAAGGUCAGAGUAGCUACAAUAAUCCAGAGCCGGUUCAGUACCCACCUCAACCAGAGGCAGAUGAUGGAAUCCCGAGGCUAUGCUACUGUGGUGGUGAGCCUGUUGUUGCAACAUCCUCCACUCAUAAAGAUCCCGGCAGGAGGUACUUCACAUGCGAGAAUGUGGAUGAUGGAGACUGCCACAUCUGGAAAUGGUGGGAUGUUGCGGUCACAGAGGAGAUGAGCGAGUUGCAGAGACAACUUAGGCUGCUUAAGGAUCAAGGCAAUGCGAGUGAGCAUAAGCUUAUGCUGCUAGAGAAGAGUGUGUUUGAGUUAUCUAACCAGAAAUCAGGAGUUACGCUAAUGAGAGUGAGCAGAAGCUGGUGCUGUCUAUUAGUUUUAAUAGGUUCCGUGUUCUUGUUACUGUGUGGUGAGUAUAUCUCCUUGUGCUUUUCGUAGUUCAUUUUUUAAUAUUCUGCGUGGUGAGUUCGUUGACUAUUUUUUCUCUUUCUUUUCAGGAUUAGCUUCAAACGAGAGUGUCUCAAAGAACCAAUGUCAUUACUAACAAGGUACGCCCACUUGAAUAAAAGCAAUUAGUCAUUUAAUGAAGGUGAAUUGAUUUCUACCGUCGUAACUCCUCGGAUUUGAUCGGUUAUAAAUGUUAGCGUUUAGAAAUAGUGAACUGAAGACUCUAGCUUGCUAGGAUUGUACUAACUAGUCGGAUUUGAUUGGUGAUAAAUGCUAGUUCUUUGCUUCCUAUCUUCCUAACUGCUCAGAUUUUAAUUGCUUUAAUUGAAAAAAAAAAUGUAAAUGGCUUACUUAAGACUCUGUGUUGCUAAUAGAGCGACACAACCAUUCUCUAACCAUGGAUAACACCACUGGUUUUGUUAACCUACUUUAUAGUCAAUCUCCAUUUGAAAUUGAUUCAACACAACCUGCUGCCGAGUCCGGUUCGAAGGAGAGGAGGAAAUGGUCACUGAAAGCGGAUCAAAUCCUCAUUGGGGCUUGGCUUAACACAAGUAAAGAUUAUGUGGUCAGCAAUGAGCAAAAAGCUAGUGCUUUUUGGAAGAGGAUUGUUCAAUACUACAACGCGAGCCCUUAUCUGGCUGGGACUAUACCUAGAGAGCUUGGGCAGUGCAAGCAGAGGUGGGCUAGGAUAAAUGAGCAAGUCUGCAAGUUUGUUGGGAGCUAUGACGCGGCUCUUAGGGCACAGAGAAGUGGUCAAAACGAUGAUGAUGUGAUGAGAGCUGCCCAAGAGUUCUUCUUCAACGAUCACGGAGUCAAGUUCAGCAUGGAACAUGCCUGGAGGGAGCUGAGGCAUGACCAGAAAUGGUGCUCCACCUAUGUGACUAAGGACGGUGGGAGUCAAAAGCGCAAACCAGUCCAGGCGGAGGUUGAUAGACAAGCGGAAGUGGGAGAACCAGAGGAAAGACCAGUCGGGGUCAAGGCAGCUAAAGGUGUUACCAAGAAGAAGAAGAGUGCUAGAGAAGAAGAAUUGUCACAGUUACAGGGCGUGUUGGAAGUUAAAGAAAAACUCGCUAGGCAUAAGUUGCUUGAUCGUUUACUCGGGAAAAAAGAGCCUCUAUCUGAGAUGGAGACAUCUCUUAAGCUCAAACUAAUGUCUGAGAUGCUAUAAACUGAUGUUAACCGUAUGUUAAGUUGUGACUGUUGUUUUGUGUACUUGUUUACUAUUAAACUUCGCUCACUCUUGUCUUUUGUGUUGUUGCAGGGUCAUGUGAACGAAGUCACGGGUGCAUUUGGUGUUGUGAAAGUCUUUUGUUGUUUAGCUCAAGUGAAUCAAGUCACGAGAUUCUAUCUAUGUACUAUAAGUAGUUGUCAUUUGCACGUCUUUAGCUAUGUAUCUCUUUCGCUUUGCUUCCUCUUCAUCAGAACUUGUAUCUUCUUGUUUCAGUACAACAAAUUGCUUCUCUUGUAAUAUUUUCGUUUUAGUACAACAAGUUGCUUCUCUUGCUUGGAUUUCUAUCCAACGAUCUCAAGUUCUGAUUCUAUUUAACUACAACUACAUUAUCUAUAGGUAACACUGGUUCUCCUCUUUUAUAUACCGAGAUUGUGUAGUAUCUAAAUCAUUUGUAGUAUAUUCUUCAGUAACUUGUGUAGUAUAUACUUACUAAACUAGAGAAUUAUAUAAUUCAUUUGAGAAACUUUGAAGUUAAUCUGAUCACUAAACUUGUCAAGUAUAUUUGAGAAAUUUUAGUUCCAAAGUUAAUCUGAUCUCAAGUUUUGUUAAAUCAUUUGUAGUAUAUUUUUUUUGUAACAAAACUUUGGAACUAAAAUAUAGAACUAAAAACGUAUUUUUUUUUUGGAACAAAACUUUGGAAUUAAAAUAUACAACUAAAAACCUAUUUUUAAAGGAAGGAUCCCUAAAAAAUGUCAUCCUCUUCAUCCGAUGAAGUCGAAGAAAGACUGGAUGAAUUAUUCGAUGAAAUCGUCGAAGAUACAUACAACGACAUUAUGGAGGGCCAAACCUAUAAGCAAAGGAAACGUGCUUACAUAGAACGAAACCGUGAAGCCGGACACAACCGUUUAUGGAAUGACUAUUUCAGCGAAGAAGCGACAUUCUCGACACAUUUAUUCAGACGUCGUUUCCGCAUGAGUAAGGAAUUAUUCAUGCGUAUUGUCCAUGCCCUCUCAGAGAACGUUCCUUUCUUUCGACAAAGAAGAGAAGCAACCGGGAGGUUGGGCCUGUCUCCACUACAAAAAUGUAUGGCAGCUGUUCGUCUGCUUGCUUAUGGUUCUGGGGCUGACACGGUAGACGAAUAUCUUCGACUUGGAGAAAGCACGGCACUUUCGUGUCUACACCAUUUCACUGAAGGAAUAAUACUGUUAUUUGGAGAUGAGUAUCUACGAAGACCCACACCAGAGGAUCUUCAACGACUCCUCGAUAUUGGAGAGAAGCGCGGGUUUCCCGGGAUGGUAGGAAGCAUUGACUGUAUGCAUUAGGAGUGGAAGAAUUGCCCAACCGCUUGGAAAGGGCAGUACGCACGUGGAUCAGGAAACCCGACAAUUGUCUUAGAGGCUGUGGCUUCACAAAAUCUUUGGAUAUGGCACACCUUUUUUGGUCCUCCAGGUAUCUUAAACGAUAUUAAUGUCCUCGAUCGGUCUCCUAUUUUUGAUGACAUUUUUCAAGGCCGAGCUCCCAGGUUAGAGUAUGUGGUCAACGGACACAUGUAUAAGUUGACUUACUACCUCACAGACGGUAUAUAUCCCAAAUAGUCAACAUUUAUCCAAUCUAUCUCGCACCCUCAAGGUCCUAAAGCAAAGUUAUUUGCUAGAAUUCAAGAAACAACCCGAAAAGAUGUGAAACGGGCGUUUGGAGUAUUACAAGUUCGAUUUGCGAUUGUCAAAAUCCGGCUCUUUCAAUGGACAAAGAAAAGAUAGGGAAGAUUAUGAGAGCAUGUAUCAUACUACACAAUAUGAUUGUCGAAAAUAAACGAGAUGGAUACAUUCAAUUCGAUAUAUCUGAAUUUCAAGAGGGAGACGUCACUAGAAGUUCACGGUGGAUACCGACAGGCCUACAACUAUUGCUAAUAUGCUCGGCAUUCGGGAUGAUGGAUAAGCGUUUACAUCAACGUUUGAAAAAUGAUUUAAUUGAAAAUAUUUAGAACCAAUUUGUUGAUUGUUGGUUAAUAAAUAUUGUAUCUUUAUCUUUAAUAAUGCAAUAAAUAAAAAUUUUAAUUUCACUUUUAUAAAAAAGUUUAUUAUUUUUAUAUUCCUAAGAACUCCAAAUUGGAGAACAUCAUUGGACUAACAAUUCUGAUUAUGAUCCUUAACUAUUCAAAAAAAAGAAAAUAGUUAAUUAAUCCUAAGGACUCCAUUUGCUGGUACACUAUUGCGGGUGCUCUAAACAAUCCAUCAUCGGCAUUUCCUAGAAAUCAGUUCUGAUCUGAAUCUAUAAGAAAUUACAUUGUAAUAAAGGCUAACUUCCUCUCCAAGUGAUGUUUUACCUUUCAUACGGUUGUGUUGCAGUGGAUAUUAAGUUGGGAAGAAAGUAAGUGUGAGGCCAAAGUGGUUUGUUCCGGCUUGCAAUGUUUGAACUUGUUCACCCUCUUCAAGUCAAUCCUUCCUAAGAUUUGCUGUUAAUUUUGACCCGGCUGUUGCUCCGCGGCGAUAUGGAAACAUCCCUUAUAUAUUAAUUGAGGAACAUUUGAAAAGAUGUAACCUCAAUUUUGUAUUAAUUAAAAGAGGCUCCAAUGCAUAGGUGGCACUCAAUUAGGUAGUCAAUUACAUUCAAUUGAAAAAUAAGUAGGUCCACAUUCGAUUUUUAUAUGUUGUUAGAUACAUAAAUUGGUCAAACUAUAUGAUAUAAUGAUAUGAUAUGAUAUUUUCUUUCCUUAAAUAAAACCUACGGAAUUACCAUAAAUGACUAAUAUAUAUAUGACAAUUAAUGAGUUUAAUAAUAAAGAUUUGAUAACAAUGUAUAUCUCCUCCAUCAUUUUUUGUUUAAUUUUAUAUUAUUAAAAUAAAUUAAACAAUCAAAUUAGCUAUAAAAAUAAAAUUUAGAUUUUUUCGUAUAUGUUAUAUUUUGAAUUUUUAAAAACGACAAUAAAUGACUAAAACUAUUAAAAUUAUUAUGUUAAAAAUUAAUGAUCAAUUGUUUUCUAUUGUGACUGGCACGACAACACUCCAGAUCGAGGUGUGAGAACAGAUGCAUUUGGUGUUACAUCAGUAAAUUCAAGACGGAAGCUGCAAUAUUAUGAUCCUUUCAUUCUUGCUUCUCAGGCCGAUCAGGUUUGUUAUAUCAAGUACCCCCGGGUAAGGAACAGAGAUGAUCCAUGGGUUACUGUUACAAGACUCAACCCGAGAGGCCGAGUUCAGGGAAGUUCUGAGCUGGAAGACCCACUACAACCAAGCACAUCCGGCAACUUAAGUGCAGCAGAAGAUUUAGCUGGAGUUGGCCUUGUAGUCGAUUUAACCGACUUUGGAGAGGAAGCCGUCGUUCACGUAGAGGAUGAACCAGUGAUUGGAGAGUUUCACCAAGAUCCAGAUUCAGAUUCAUCUGGUGAUGAUGACUCGGAAACAGACUACCAUUGAAUAUAGAUAUGUGUUUGUUAAACCAUUAUAAAAUAUAAAUUGAUAGAUAUAUUAUAAUUUAUUUUUAAUUUAUUUGUGGCUUUAAACAAAUUUGAAAUGAUUUAAAAAAACAGGUACUAAAAAACAUGUGCAUAUUUGCUUGGAUCAAAAUUUGGCAGCCUUUAUAAUAAAUAUUUUAAGGCAUUUGACAUACGGAAACUCUUUUCAUCUGCUAUCUCUAAUUCAAUAUUUUUUUUAAAUACUGACUGCAUUACUUUCAUCGCAUGAACAACAGCCAGUGUGUUAUCCAACACUUUUAAGCUUUUACGAAAACAUCAUUUUGGAAGCUACAAAUGCUAAUAUUUUGAGACUCUUGACUCUGUUUUAUUUUAAAUUUUGUCAACAGACGACUCUGUCUUAUCUUAGAGUUUUACAUUUCCCGUUCUGAUGAAAACCAUCAUAUUAAAACUUACACAUAAGUCAAAUUAGUGGUUUCAAAUACCGAGUCCGUAAUAUGUAUUUACUGUGUUCGAACGGUUUAAUAUAUCCAUGGAAUAUAUCGUACUAUCUUAUUCACACAACAUUUAUAUUUCGAAUAAGUCAACACAACUGGUGUGUGACAUAACCGCAUAAAAUAAAAUACAUACACCAUAAAUUAUUCUGUCAUAAUUAAUAACUAGAGAUUGACCCGCACGCCCGUGCGGGUGUUAAUUUUUACUUUCUUAUAAAUCGAUAUUUUAUUUUUAUGAUUAGUAUUAUAUAUUUUAUAUGUGUCAUAAUAUAAUUAAUUGCAUAAGUACUUUUAAAUUUCUAUACAUCAUAAUCGAACCUGAAUCAAAUAGAGUAAUAUGAUUACUUUUGGUUAUUUGGUUAUUUUUAGUUUAAUUUGAAUUCAGCAUACCCGAAUUGAAUCGGUUAAUAUUCUUACUUUUCAUAUAAAUAUCCGUACCGGCGUCAAAUACAUUAGUUUUUAGAUAUUUGUAGGUUUGUAUAUAUCAAGACUGAAUUCAUCUGGACCCGAUUCAAAAUACACAUGAAAAUUUUUUAAUACUGAAAUGAAGUCUAGUUUCAAAACUCAAAAAGCAUGAUAACCCAAAGAAAUAACUCGUAACUGAAUAGUUAUCCGAAUGUCCAUGUCUAACCGAUACAUAAGUAAAUUAAAAAAAACAUUUGUUAACCAUUUUGAAUUCUUAUCACAAAUAGAGUGGUUUCAUUCAAAUAUGUCGAAUUAUUAUAGUUAAUAUGUAAAUAAUCCUGGAAAAAUAUUAUAGUAAAUAUAAUUAAUGAGAUAGUUAAAAGUGAGAAAAUGAAUAUAAAAGAUAAAAUAAAAAAAUUGAAAACAAAUAAGUUUUGUUUUUCUUGUCACUAUUAUAUAUCAUAUAUAUGUCAUCAUAUAAUUAAUCAUAUUUUAUAUGUACCAUAAUAUAAGUAAUCAUAUAACUAAUAGUAUUUUAUAUGUACCAUCAUAUAAAUAAUCACAUAUAUUAUAUUUAUAAACCUAAUAUGAAAUAUAAAAACCAUAAUUUAAGUUGGUGUUUUAAUUAAGUUUUGUAUUGUAUUUUUCUUAUAUAUAGUAAAAAUAUUUUUUUAAAUGGUUAUUGGAAAAUAUUUUAGUAAAUUGUUUUUUAAAUAUAUAUAUAUAUAUAUAUUUUUGAAUCAAUUUUUUAUAUAAAUUAGUUUUAAAUUAUUAUUUUGAUUUGAAUUUUGUAUAGUAAUAAUUAAAAGUGAGAAAAAUGAAUGUAAAAGAUAAAAUAAAAAUUGAAAACAAAUAAUUUUUUUUUUGUACUUCUGUAAUAAAUUAUAUUAACUUAUUUAGUAAAUAUAAUAGAUGAAGGGUUAGAAUUGAUUAACAAUAGAAUAAAAAUCUUUUAAAAAAUCAAUUAAGAUAAGUAAGUAUUAUUUUGUACUGCUAUCCAUGUUUCCAAACAAUUCUCAUUUAUACUACUAUCCAAGUUUCCAAACAACUCUCAAAUGUACUUCAGUUUUAAUAAUAUAGAUGAAGCCAAACUAUUGUUUCAUUCUCCAAAAUAUAAUAAAAAUAAUAACUUAAUCCCGCGCAAGGCGCGGGUCUUAUCCUAGUUAUAAGUUAUAACAUCAGAUCUUUAAAAACUGGUCAAAGAAGAAAGUUUUGAAAAAACCUAAUAAGCGAAUCAUUCCAAGAAUUGAUAUUUGUUUCUUUUUGAAGAACCUGCAUCAAAUUUCAUAAAAUAGUCAGCGUAAGAUGAAAGCAAAACCUGAAAACGAAUCACCGAUCUACAGAGACUUUAGGUACUGCCGCUUCCAAUCAAAAUAAGUGGUAUUAGGGGUUGAGACUGGGCCGACAAAAUCACUAUGUGGAGCCUUCUUAGAUCUGAAGCAAAGCAAAUGGUUACUGUAUAUCAAACCAAUAAAAGAAAGUUGAAGAUGAGAGAUGAGGAACUAAAGAGUUACUGGUGUCUUGAUGCAGCUACGAAGACCUGAUUUAUUAAUAUAUAUAGAUUUUGGCCUAUACUGUUCAGUAGACUACUAUCUCAUUGUGAAUAGAUUGAUUCGUUUGGAACAAAAAAAAAAUUCAAUUCUUUUGAUCUUUUUGGCGUAUCCUUCAGUAUCACUUUAUUAUCAAGUAGCAAGAGUAACAACAACAAAAAAACUUCUCUUUUAUUACGGUCUUCAGAGUACUUCUUAUUACAUUGGCCUCGAUCGAUUUUAAAGUACAUUAUUUAUGGAACACACACCAUCACUGCGUAGUGUUAACAUACAUCAACAACCACACUCUUCGCCGUGGUAUAUACACUCCCGAGGGUUUCGUUUGGAAUCUAGUAAGAGGGCCCAGGCAUGGUCUUCUGGAAAGGACAAAUGCUAACUUGCGGGAUGUUGCAAACUUUAGGUAAGUGCGUAGCAGUCUGGUAGAUACGGCUAAUUACUUGCUGCAGCUGCUGUCCCUGCUGUCCCUGUUGUCCUCCUUGUUGUCGAACCUGUUGUUUAACGGCUUUGGAUGCUCCUUUCAAGGUUGGGCAAACGCAGAGUGGCUCUUCCUGGUGAAGCUCGUUGCAGCACUGCUGGAGCAGCGGAGGCCUCUGCUGUGGGCCCUGGGGGUUCUCCAUGUCGUCAUCAAAAUCGAACUCACCGUCAAGGGUCCAGCUAGGACCACUACCGGACUGCAUUGCCUGCUUGUGGAGCCAUUGUUGGCAAGCUCUUAGGUGUUGUGCUUGCUGAAACUCCUUCCUACAUUUUGGAAUCCUAAAUGGGCCGGCUGGGUUUGUGGCAUCUUCAUCGACUUCCACAACCGUCCUGUAGACGGAGGCAUUGGUGAGAAGGAAGAAAAAGGCGAGAGUUGCCGAGACGAGGAAGAGCUUGUUCGCCAUUUGUGUAUGUUUUUAACUUUGUUUGUUAUGAUGAGUUUUGGUUUGAGUAAAGAGUGAAGCUGUUAAGUUAAUUUAUAGGUGAGAAUGGAGAUUUGCAUGGCGAUCACGUGUAAUAAUGCAUGCAUUUGUGUGUGUGCGCUGUGAGAGAUAAGCUCUUAUGUGUUCGAAGUGAGUGACAAGUCACUAACAAAAACAGUCAUCCGCAUCUGCAUGCUAUGUGUGAAGUGUAGCUCAUGUCCUGGCGUGACAUCUUAUGAACAAUAUUCUUAAAACAGAAUGUACAAACUUAACUUCAAAAAAUUUAAAAAAACCUUCAGUAUGUGGGGUAAGAGUCUAUAUAUACUUUGGAGGUGGUGCGGGGGCGGUUGAAAAUAUAUAUUGGGAGCUUAAUCAGAAUUCAGAAAUAGUAAAGAAGAUCUAUGUCAUGGUGGAAACUAAAUGUGUCUCGUAUAAUAUCUAACUAAGUAGUAACCCGCGUUUUGCGCGGGAUUAGAUAUCUAAUAAUAUGUUGAUUGUAUAUAUUAUGAUUAUGUACAACAUAUAAGGUGUAGCUCAAUCUCUAUAAUAUUAUUUGAGAAGUCACUUUCCUAUGUGUCGCUUCCACAUUAAUUAUCAGGAUGGUUGAUUAUACUGAUACCCUUAAUGAAUUUAAAAUAUUAAAUACUAUUAUUUAUUUAUUUUAUUUAGCUUGCUUUUAAAAAAUUUCCAAAAACAUAUACACAUAAUAAAAAGGAAUUUUUAAUAAAGUUAAAAAACGAAUUGAAAAACGAAAGAUCUCUAUAAUAUAACUAGAGUCGGCCCGCCCGAGUAUACUUUUCUUAUGAUUUAAGUUACUAUUUUUAUAUGAUUUUGUGCUUUGUGUUUUGGGUUUGCAUUUGCAAGAAAUGUGUAUAUAAUGAUUUAUGUCUUUAAAAAAGUUUUAGAUGAGAAAAGAUUAUACGUGGUAAGAUAUAUUUUACUUGUUUACAAUAAUUGUUUCUAUAUUAAAGAGUUAUGGCAUUAAUAUAUUGUGAGGGCUUCAAAUGGACGAUUUCAUAUUCGAUGUCAAAAUGGUUUAUUUUUUUCUAAUAUUAAUUCUUGUAUAGAUUAAGUAAAUAUUUUCUUAUUUAAUCUCAUACUCAUCGAUCUAAAUUGAACGGUUAUGGGAUAUUUUAAAUUUUUUGUGUUACAAUUGAAAUAAAAAGCAAAGAAAAACACAUUGGUUAAAUAUUUAAUUGGUUUAAAGAGAAUCAUGAACAGCGAUCCUUCGGAAAAAUAUUAAUUGUAUGUUUUCUAUCUCCUUUUAGAAUUUUUUUUGUCUUUUUAACUUUCUAUAUUGUUACCUCUGUAUACUUUAUAACAUUUAAUUUCUGCAAUUACUUCUUUAAAUACUUAACAUGCAGAUUUUAAUACUUUACUAUGACAUUUCCAUUUCUUUUUUUUUUUACUACAGUUAAUAGUUCUACAAAUAUAAUCACAGCUACAUCAUUCACAAUUUACAUAUUGUAAAAUAUGUAUAUAACUCUGUCAAAACAAUUUUCGUAUACUUAAAUAACUUCAUCCACUGCCACUUUCAAGCUCUCAGAGUUACAAAUCUGAAUUGAUCAUGGGUCUUAAGAUGGAGAGCAAAGCAAACCUGCAAAUAUCGCAGAAAGUUGUUAUGCCGCAGAGAACCACAUAAACCUGUAUACCCUAGUAAUAUAUUUAUAUAUAUGUUGAUAUAUAUAUAUAUAUAUAUAUAUAUAUGAUUUCAUAAAAAAAAGUUCACAAAAUAGUAAUAUUACAUUUAAAAAAUAUUUUUAAUUAACAUAAAAUAUACUUUUGAAAUAAGAAAAUACUUUAUUUAUAUCUAUAUUUUCUUAGAUGAAAAAUAUAAAUUUGUAUAUAAUGUGAUUUCAUUAAAAAUAUUUACACAGAUAAUCUUGAUAUUAGAAACAUAAAUAAUAUUUCUUUUAAAACAUAAUUUUAAACAAUACAAAAAAAAGUUCAAAGUAAUAGAAUUUUUUUUAUAUAUCCAUCUAUUUUCUUAGAUGACUAGGGGACUAGGUAAUAAUCCGCGCGAGCCUUGCGAGGAAUAUGAUUAUUAGUUUCGUUAUUUUUAAUAAAAAGACAUUAAAUCAGUUUAAUCUGGAUAUUAGUUCGGUAUUAAGUUUUUUUUCGUUUUUAAUCUUCUAAAAUAUAACUAUUAUUUUAAAUUAAUAUUCAUUUUAGUAUAUUCGGUUAAAAUAUUUGAAUUUUGGUUUUUUUUCCGGUAAAAACCAAAAUUAAUAUUAUUUAUUUAUUUUCAUGUUAUAAAUUUUAGAUAGUCGUCAUGUCGAACCAAUAGUUUCUAAACAGAUAAUAGUUUAAGAAAAAGAAAAGAAAAUUAUUAAGACAAAUCAUUUCACUACAAUUUGGUCGGUAGUGAAAGAAGCAUUAAGAAAUAAUAUUUCAACUUUUAAAAAAAUUAGAUACUUCAUUUGUGGUGAAUACUUAGUUACAAGGUAUUCACAUCAAGGUGCACAUAUAUGUGUAUGUAAAAAGUAUAUAAAAAUAGUUGACAAAUAUAUAAAUAUAUUGUUAAUUAAUAUUAAAUGAUAUUUUUUUUUCAUAAUAAUUAUGGGUGGGCGUUCGGAUACCCAUUCGGGCUCAGUUUGGAUCUAUUCGCGUUUCGGGUUUUCGGUUUAAAGAUUUCAGCCCCAUUCGGGUAUUUCUAAAUUUCGGUUCGGAUCCUUGCGGGUUCGGUUCGGAUUCGGAUAACCCAUUUAAAUUAUUUUUAAAAUUUUAAUAUUCAUUUUAUGCUUAAAAUUUCUCAAAAUCUAUAAAACAAAAUAAUAUAUUACAUAGAAUUUGUAUAAUAUAUGUCAAAAUAUCUAAAAUUUACAUAUAAAUUGGUUUGAUUUGAAUAUUUUGAUACAAAAUCAAUUGAUAUUUUAAGUAUUUUGGUGCUUUGAAUAUAUUUUAGCUAUUUUAGACAUUUACUUUUGACUAUUUAUGUAUAUUUUCAAGUUUUUUAGACAACUUAAAAAUAUCUUAUAUAUUUUAGAUGUGUUUAAUAUAUAUAUUAAAUCUAAAAAUAAGUAAUAUAUUUAGGUAUAUAAAUCUAUUUCGGUUAUGUUUGGGUACCCGAGAUAUUUCGGUUCGGGUCGGGUUCGGUUUCGAUUCUUUAGAUACCAAAAUAUUGAACCUGUUCGGAUAUUUAAUCAAUUUUGGUUCGGGUUCGGUACUACUUUUUCAGAUCGGGUUCGGUUCAGUUCUUCGGAUCCGGGUUUUUUGCCCAGCCCUAAUAAUAAUACAUGAAAGAUAAAAUUAAAAUUAAUUUAAAAUAAAAAAGGCUUUGACAUUAUUCAUUUUUUAUAUAUAAAGAAAAUAAAUUUGUAUCCGUAAACAGGGGUGGAUACAGAUCAAAUAUCUGGGUAUUUGGAAGCAUUCGUGUCGAUUCGAUCUUUAGCCACCUAGAUAUUUAGUGACUCGGAUAACCGAAAUGUUUUAGAAUUUUUAAAAAUAUAAUAAAUUUAAUUCAUAAAAAAUAUUGUAAAACUGAUAUAAAGUAUAAUAUAUAUAACGUAUAUAUAUAAUUUUUUACAUAUAUGUAUAUAUAGAUAUGCAUAUAACAUAUCGAACUAGAUAUAUGUUCCUAAAAAUAUUGGUAUUUGUGAUUUGCUUCUUUUUUGGAUAUUGUAUUUUAGUAUUUGAUUUGUUUCGUAGUGUUACAGAUAUCCAGAUUUUUUGGUUCAAAUCAAAACAUAUAACGAAUCAAAUCAAAAUUUAUGAAUAUUUUGCUCAAUUUUAUCCGUAAACAAUAAAAAUAAUAUAUAUAUAGUUUAGCUUUUGAUUCGUUAUCUAUUUUUAUUCAAACAAAAAAAUCCAGAGUUUUAUUGAAACUAUGUAUGUGAGUUUUAUAUUAAAAAAAUCGCAAAAUACAUAGUGUGAAUACAUUUAUGAAUAUAAUGUGAACGCGUUAACAUACUUAUUAUCAAAUCAUUGUAAGACUGUCACGUGUCUAGUGUGGAUACAUUUAUUGCAAUGCUUUUUUUUUAAUAUAUAAGGGAUAAAUGCACUAGUGCCUCUUGUGUAACUGUAACCAGGGACGAAUGUGAUGCAGCUCAAUCUCUGAUCGCACACAAUCAACACGAGACUGCCAAGGUUCACGACUCUCUUCCAUAUAGGAAUUUCCUUUUAUAUUAAAGUCGGUUUUAACUUUCCUUUUUAGGUGUUUUCGUUUUCCUUUUAGAAAGAGGAGUUAACUAAUCCUCCUAUAGGUUUAUGUUUUUCGUUUCUAGUAUUUAAAGGGUCCUAAUCAAGCUUGUAAGGUCACGAUUGGUUAAUAUUGAAUACAUCUUUAGAGUUUUUAAAAAGCUUUAACAAGCGCUGCGAAGAGUAUUCGCGUCCUAUUAUCCUUGUGUCCGAGUUACCUUCAAGAACAUGUUACCAAUCUAGUGAUCAAACCCUUGAUCCCUAGGUUUCCUAGCUUCCGCUCUCCAUCAGAAUAUAUAGGUGCACUUGUAGUCUUGUACCCACUAUUUUUUCUAAAAAGAAAUAUUUUCUAAAAAAAUGUUAAAAUCUAACAAAAAUGGGCAAAACUAACCUAGCAACCAGUAUUUUGUUGGUUUGCCUCCUCUGCUUUCACCAUUUUAUUUGUUCUUCUCUUUACAUUUACUUCAAUCAAUGUUAAAUUUAUUUGAUUUAAAAGAAUUUAUAAAAUGGAUGCAACACUAACUAGGCCUAGUAAAAUAAUCAUGUUGAAUUUUCGAAGGGCAUGCUGAUGUUGUUCUCUAUGCUUUCCUCCAUUACGUUUACGCCAAAUAGUGUACACCACUAGAGUCGGGCAUGUAGACAGUAUUAUAAAAAAAAUUGAAUGGAACACCCACUUUACAAGAGCCCUACUACAAAAAUUGUAUAUAUGUAUUUAUAUUUUUGAUAUAAUAACAUAGAUAUAUUAACUGUAAAAUAUUGAUAAAAAAUUUAGUUGAUAAAAAUAUAUUAAAUGAUCUAUACUAUUAUUUGCGAAGUAAUUUUUAGCAACGAAACUCUCACGUUGAAAGUUAGAGUUGUUAAUAUCUAUAUUACUCUUAAUGAAUUUUAUGUAUAUAUAUUAAUUAUAUAAUCAAAAACGAAUUUUGAUUAAUAAUGUCUUAUAUAUUAAAAGAGAAGUCACAACCUUGAUUCAUGUGUGAUUUUUUUAAAAAUGGACUAUCACUAGAAAGAAGUUAUGUUUCAUUUAUUUCUUAGUAACAUUUUGCUAUAAUUAAUUAAUCACAUAAUAAUAAUCGACUAUUAUAACAACUUUUUCCUAUAAAGCCGGCUCCGUUUAUGAAAACAUUUUAACCGAUAAAUCACCUAAUAUAUGUCGAUUUGGAGCUGUGCUUUACGCUCUUGUAUGCCCUAAACCUCCACCCACUGCGACUCCUUAGCAAGUUAAACUCUUUAAAGAAAUAACCUGUCCUUCAGUACUGCGUAAGAGAUCUUCUAUCAAAAGAAAAAUUGUUAGCGAAGCUCAGAAAACGUUUUGUAUCUCUCAUGCUAAUCAGUAUGUUGAAGCUGGAACUUACUUGCGUGUGCACGUUUAACCAAAACGUUCCCCAAGGUACACUGUUAGAAAACUGUUUGAAAAUUGGAAAGCUUUGGUGAUAAUAUUCACUGCACACAUGAUGGAUUGUAUCAGGUAUUAUGAAAUUGACUGGAAGUCGCGGAUUAUUGCUGUGACUGACUCUUCUUAUGUCGUUUUGGAUAAACUUGCCGGGACUACGGUACUUUUAUUCAUCCAUUGCACUAUCUCUUCUCAAUGUUCUUGACCACUGUAGUUUCACUAGAGAUCUUUAAAGAACUUUCUCUUGUGAAUAUUGUUAGUCUCAGUUUUAUACAUUUUGGGAUUGUACCAGAAUGUAUUUUUGUGUUCUAUUUCUUGGUAAUGAGGAUCGAAAAACAAUUCAUUCGAUCUUAAAACUUUAGAUACUAAAAAGCCAGGGUUCUCAGUGAUUCAGUGUGCUGACCCACAUGACCACAAUAAUUCAGUUUCUCAGGUUGGGGAAACCACAGAUAAUAUCGAAGAGAGCUGUGCGACAUUUUCCUUAUGUGCAUUAGAUUCCGCAGAACCACUGAAACAACACAUCAGAUUGAUAACUGCACAAAAGGCUGUACUUUCCCUUUUAAAACUUUUCUGCUUCAUACUUUUGCAGAUUUUUUUACUAAAAUUUGUAGAUUUAACUUCUUGAAAUGACCAGGUCGCAUUGCUUUUUUACUUUCUCUGUAGUAUAAUCUUUGCUAGGACAAAAGAGUAUUGAUCGGUCUUCCUCACAGAAAUACGAGUGAGUUUGCUUUGCUUCUAUUUCGUUUGACUGGAAAAUCAAGAAGACAUGGUGAAAUAUUUCAUUAUUUUCUAUAUGUUUUUACUUCUUUUCAAGAAUAAGGAGGUGAGGAAACUUCGUCGUGCUGUUGAGUCUUGAUACGGCCGUUGUAGUUCGAACUCUAACGGUCUAACCUAUGAUAAGUGGAAUAAAUCCUUGAUUUGUUUAUAGUUAUGAGUUUGGUUUUGCUGUGUACUUGGUCAUUUCAUAGCUCAGACCCAACAUAUAUACCCUCUCAUCCGACCACCAAAUAAUAUCCCAUCCAACCCAACACCUACAAUACAAUAUUAAGCUUCUUGAAUUAAGUCCUACUUAUUGAGUAACUAGCCUCUCUAUUUUGACUUGGGGUGCAUUGAACAACUCUGAUUAGUUAUUUCUUCAAAAUGAUUCUCAAUAUUUGUCUAUUGUGUAAUAUUUUAACUCGGUGUUUCUUAUAUUUUUAAAUUAAAAUAAAUUUAAAAAUAAAAUUUAUUAAUAUUGUAGAUUUUAUUAUUUUACCAAGUUUUAAUAGAAAUUUUAUUUAAUUAAGCAUUAUUAUUAAAAUUAAAAAUAAUUUUGCUUAUUUUAAAAUAUAUUUAAGAAUAUAUAUAGUUCUAUAUUAAAAAUAAUAAUCUUCGCUAAAAUUUUAUCUAUUUAUUUUGGUUAAAUAUAUUAAAUCAACCUUUUUUUUUGAAUUAAAUCAACCUUUAUAAAACUAAUAAAAUGAUAUACAAUUGUAUAAUUAUCAAAAAUAAAACUAAACAAUAUUUAUAAAGAAAACUUAGAUAUUAUAAAAGAAACUAAUGAUAUUACGAUUAAAUUUUGCUUAAAAUAAUAUAGAACGUUUUAAAAAAAUUAGUAAUAAAAAUUGUAUAAUUAUAAAAAUAGAAUAAAUCAUCUUUAGAAAUUUAGAAAAUCAUAUCUGAAUAUAUUUAUUUUAACAAUGAUGUAUGAAUUAUUACCAUAUUUUGAUAUACGAGUUAUUAUUAUAUUCUAAAAAUUUCAAUAUUUUAAUACAUUAGUAAUACGUUAAAUAUUUUAAUAUUAUAAUAUAUAUCACGAAUGUUGCAAAAAAAAUGUUUACGUAAUGGAAAUAAAUACCCGCGCUGUUGCGCGGGUCAAGAUCUAGUUAACUUGUUAAAACAAUAAGAUAAUUCUUAUAUAUUAUGUUGUUAUCUUAAAACAUAUGUUUCAAUUAUAAAUUUUAAAAAUAAAAUAUAAAACAAAGUUAGAGUGGUUAAUAUCUAUAUUACCCUUAAUGAAUUUUAUGUAUAUAUAUUAAUUAUAUAAUCAAAAACGAAUUUUGAUUAAUAAUAUUAACUUUUUAAAACAAUAAGAUAAUUCUUAUAUAUUGUGUUGUUAUCUUAAAACAUAUUCUUAUAUAUAUAUGUUUUAUUUUAAAAAAUAUAUAAAACAAUUAAUAAAUUUUAAUUAAACAUAUAUAUUUAAUUAACUUUGUUAUAUAUAUUUAUGUUUUAUUUAAUUUUUUGAAAACAUAAAUAAUAAGUUAUUAUGCUGAUUUUGAAUUAAAAAAAAUAAACUAAUAAAUAGUUGUAAAACGAUUAAGCCUGCAUAUGCGGGCAAGACACUUAGUUUUGUUAUUAUUAUUGUAGUUUAGAUAUAAAUAAGUAAUAUACUACAAAAUUAUGUUUUUGUAAACAAAAUUUUAUUUAUAAAUUUUACAAAAAAAUUAAAUAAUUAAUAAAUAUUUUUUCGAAUAAAGUCGCGGAAAUCGUUUUUUUAAAAGAAAUCUUAAGACCCACCACUCCGUGAAAGGAUGCAACUAACAAAGAGGGAGGGUCAGCUGACCCCACAAAAUAAUUAUUAAACAUUAAAGAUAAAUUUAAUUAUACAACUAAAAUAUUUAUACAUUUUUAUCUUUAAAACUUAAGAUAUGUUAGUUUUAAUCUCAUUUUUUUAUAGUUAAAAAAAAUUAUAACGCUGAUAUAAGAAAAAAAAAAUUCUGAUCUGGUAUAAAAUAUUUCGGGCUCCGGCGGACUGCAUGAAACAUGUAUUGCAAUGUAAAGAGAAUGGUAAUGUCCCAACCAUCAUCCACCAAGAAGAGUUGAACAAUAUAUAGUAUCCCAGCGGUUAGAGUAUUUAGCAUUUAUUAAAAGUUAUAGAUGAUCAAUGGUACAGAAAUUUACUACCUUUGCUAUCAAAGUACUGUUUAUAAGUAAAGGCAACAUCAGUAAUUAAUAUUUGCAGGAAUUUACAGAUGCAUGGUGAUCAAAAAGAGUUUCGAAGUAUCUGAUCAUACCAGAUUAAUUUGAGUCAUUGGUUGAUCCCAGUGGAUAAUCUUUUAUUAUUGGCCUCGAAGGCUUUAAUUAACAUUUAGUCUAUUCUGUUCAUUGGACUACUUGUGAAUAGAUUAAUUGUUCUGUUCUUUUUGGCGCAUCCUUAAUUAUCACUUUUUAUGAAGUAGCAAGAGUAACAAAAAUUAAAAAACACCUCUUUUAUUACGGUCUACGAGUAGUUCUUAUUACAUUAGCCGCGAUUUUAAAGUACAUUAUUUAUGGAACACAUACCAUGGCUGCGUAGUGUUAACAUACAUCAACAACCACACCCAUCAUCGUGGUAUAUACACUCAGAGGGUUUCGUUUUGAAUCUAGUAGGAGGGGCCAGGCAUGGUCUUCUGGAAGGGACAAACGCUAACUUGCGGGAUGUUGCAAACUUUAGGUAAGUGAGUAGCGGUCUGGUAGAUUCGGCUAAUUACAUGCUGCAUCUGCUGUCCCUGCAUUUGUCCCUGUUGUCGAACCUGCUGUUUAACGGCUUUGGAUGCUCCUUUCAAGGUUGGGCAAACGCAAAGUGGCUCUUCCUGGUGGAGCUCGUUGCAGCACUGCUGGAGUAGUGGCGGCCUCUGUUGUGGGCCCUGGGGGUUCUCCAUGUCAUCUUCAAAAUCAAACUCACCAUCGAGGGUCCAGCUAGGACCACUACCGGACUGCAUUGCCUGCUUGUGGAGCCAUUGUUGGCAAGCUUUCAGGUGUUGUGCUUGCUGAAACUCCUUCCUACAUUUUGGAAUCCUAAAUGGGCCCGCUGGGUUUGUGGCAUCUUCAUCGACUUCCACAACCGUCCUGUAGACGGAGGCAUUGGUGAGAAGGAAGAAAAAGGCGAGAGUUGCCGAGACGAGGAAGAGCUUGUUCGCCAUUUGUGUAUGUUUUUAACUUUGUUUGUUAUGAUGAG
rnacentral:lncRNA from 1 species